rnacentral:rRNA from 1 species
UACGUAGGGUGCGAGCGUUAAUCGGAAUUACUGGGCGUAAAGCGUGCGCAGGCGGUUUUGUAAGUCAGAUGUGAAAAUCCCCGGGCUUAACCUGGGAACUGCGUUUGAAACUACAAGGCUAGAGUGUGGCAGAGGGGGGUGGAAUUCCACGUGUAGCAGUGAAAUGCGUAGAGAUGUGGAGGAACACCGAUGGCGAAGGCAGCCCCCUGGGUUAACACUGACGCUCAGGCACGAAAGCGUGGGGAGCAAACAGG